rnacentral:rRNA from 1 species
GCUUAACCGGAGAAGUGCAUCGGAAACUGGGAGACUUGAGUGCAGAAGAGGACAGUGGAACUCCAUGUGUAGCGGUGGAAUGCGUAGAUAUAUGGAAGAACACCAGUGGCGAAGGCGGCUGUCUAGUCUGUAACUGACGCUGAGGCUCGAAAGCAUGGGUAGCGAACAGGAUUAGAUACCCUGGUAGUCCAUGCCGUAAACGAUGAGUGCUAAGUGUUGGAGGGUUUCCGCCCUUCAGUGCUGCAGCUAACGCAUUAAGCACUCCGCCUGGGGAGUACGACCGCAAGGUUGAAACUCAAAGGAAUUGACGGGGGCCCGCACAAGCGGAGGAGCAUGUGGUUUAAUUCGAAGCUACGCGAAGAACCUUACCAGGUCUUGACAUCUUCUGCCAAUCUUAGAGAUAAGACGUUCCCUUCGGGGACAGAAUGACAGGUGGUGCAUGGUUGUCGUCAGCUCGUGUCGUGAGAUGUUGGGUUAAGUCCCGCAACGAGCGCAACCCUUAUUAUCAGUUGCCAGCAUUCAGUUGGGCACUCUGGUGAGACUGCCGGUGACAAACCGGAGGAAGGUGGGGAUGACGUCAAAUCAUCAUGCCCCUUAUGACCUGGGCUACACACGUGCUACAAUGGACGGUACAACG